UCCACGUAGCUCUGUCUGUCAGACUGAAGACUGAAUGCCCUGGUGGAGUGGGUUCACAAGGAGAUCACCUGACCUGAGGGUUGCAAAGAUCUAUGGGAGAAGUGUGGUUUUGUCACUCAUUCACUCGCCACUUCCCUGGGCAGAGAAGGAUCCCCAGGCUCCAUGAUGCUCCCAGGUACAACAUAAGUUCCACAGGGCAGCAGAGAUGUCGCCUGCGGUCUAUUGCUGCACAAGGGAACUAGAACAGUACUUGAAAGAAAAGAGGUGCUCGAUAAAUGUUAUGGAAUGAAUAAAUGUAUCCCCUCUUGAGGGUGCAGAGCUAUAGAAUGUGCUAAUCUCUUCUCACGUGAAAUGACUCCCUUGAUUAUUCCGAUUUCAUUGACUCUAAGUAGAAGGCAAACCCUGUGGUAUCAAUUUACAAAGGGAAAUGAA
rnacentral:lncRNA from 1 species